UUAAAGGUGAAUAAGAAGAAGUUAGAAGAUGAGUUUGUUUUUGAUUGGUAUUUGAUGUAAAUGGUGGAGUUAUCCUGAAAAAUUGAUUAAGAAAUUGCAGAUUUAGGGUUCCUCAUGUUCUUCCCCAAUUUAUAAAUUAGAGUUUCUGAGGGUUGCUGAUUAUGAGACUCAGAUCGAGACAGAAGAAGGGUAGAGUUGGUUUUGGUAGAUGGUGGUGAUCUUGAGAUGAAUUCUGAGUCAGGUCAGAGUAAGAAGAAUCUAAUUCAAUUGCUUGAGUUGGAUUGGUUUGAGGUAAUUAUUCUUCUCAAUCGAAUUAGUAAAGUUAUUUAUGUAUGUUGUCGAGACUAUGUGGUUGUUGAUGAACCAGGAUUUGAGAUUAGUAUUUAAGAUAUUGUAUAUAUGUUGAACUGAUACUUGGAUGUGCAUGUUGUUAGGUUGAACUGCAGUUAUUAGCGCAGAACUGAAGUGAGUUAGUAUUAGUAAUAUGCCUGGUGUGAUCGACCAUUAACAGAAGUAAAUGUAAGACAAUAUGGAUUGGUGGUGGCCAGACAAAGAAAUUGAUGCUCUUGUUUAUCCUCAAGGAAGACGGCCAAAGAAGGUGAUGGAUCCACAACACUUUCAAUGAGUGGAAGAUGAUUUGGUUAAAUGGGAU